rnacentral:rRNA from 1 species
AGUGGCGGACGGGUGAGUAACGCGUAAGAAUCUAACUUCAGGACGGGGACAACAGUGGGAAACGACUGCUAAUACCCGAUGUGCCGCAAGGUGAAACCUAAUUGGCCUGGAGUAGAGCUUGCGUCUGAUUAGCUAGUUGGUGGGGUAAAGGCCUACCAAGGCGACGAUCAGUAGCUGGCCUGAGAGGAUGAGCAGCCACACUGGGACUGAGACACGGCCCAGACUCCUACGGGAGGCAGCAGUGGGGAAUUUUCCGCAAUGGGCGAAAGCCUGACGGAGCAACGCCGCGUGAGGGAGGAAGGUCUUUGGAUUGUAAACCUCUUUUCUCAAGGAAGAAGUUCUGACGGUACUUGAGGAAUCAGCCUCGGCUAACUCCGUGCCAGCAGCCGCGGUAAUACGGGGGAGGCAAGCGUUAUCCGGAAUUAUUGGGCGUAAAGCGUCCGCAGGUGGUCAGCCAAGUCUGCCGUCAAAUCAGGUUGCUUAACGACCUAAAGGCGGUGGAAACUGGCAGACUAGAGAGCAGUAGGGGUAGCAGGAAUUCCCAGUGUAGCGGUGAAAUGCGUAGAGAUUGGGAAGAACAUCGGUGGCGAAAGCGUGCUACUGGGCUGUAUCUGACACUCAGGGACGAAAGCUAGGGGAGCGAAAGGGAUUAGAUACCCCUGUAGUCCUAGCCGUAAACGAUGGAUACUAGGCGUGGCUU